CUCUACAAGAACUUCUAGUGCUCUGGGCAGCUGCGAGGGGUCAAGAAACCACAUCCCCAAAUCCAGCGGGAUCUCAGAGAGAAAGGCUGAUGGGAAGCUGCCCAGGGCUGACCUGGCACAUGCUGGGAAAACCCCUCGGUGCCAGGGCAGGAGGCAGAGCGUCUGCAGCUCCUCCCUCCCCAACACAGGGGGUAAGGAAUACAGCAGAACGGGAAUCGGGCGCCUUCAUGCUGCUGUUACCGCCCUUGGUUCAUGGCUUCUUUCACUUGGAAACCCCAGGAGGUGGGCAUUGCUGUACCGCAUGUGCUACUGACCAAAACAGGCCAAAGCUCAGCGAGGGGUGGGAUCACCUAAGGUUGUGCAGCACCUACGUGGUGGAGUGAGGAUCCGAGCCUCCAUCUUUCAUGCAUUAAUUCAUUCUGUCUCUGGAUUCCCCUAGAAGCAGACCCUGAGGCAAGGAUCCACAUGUAAGUAGCUUAUUUAGACAGAGCAGAAAAUAUCAAUGGGAGAGUGAAGAAGUGAGACAAGGCAGGGAAGGUGGCUCAUAAAGGGUAUGUUUUCAAGACAGCUGCUCCUGUGGGCAACUGGAGCUUAAUCCCCCCAGGGAAUCUGGGAGCCAGGGUGGAACAGGCCUCAGAGUGACUGCACCAAUGGGGCCCGGGAGUUGGGGUAUAAAUACCAACUCCCAAUGUUGGUUGAGUGCUGCUCCUGGGGGGCUUCUAUUUCUCUCUGUAUGGAAGGUAAAGCGGGCCCUGGAGGCCACAAAAAGAAUCCUCCAGGAAAGAAAUCUCAGUGCUGCCAUUCAGAAAAGCAGUCAGCAUGCCCUGAAGUGCUAGGGCAAAAGGGUGGAAGCAGGCACUGACAUAUCUACUCCAUAACUUGCCCAACAAACACUGUACAGGGUCCCUCCUAGGAGACUGAUGCUGAGCCAGACCCGGGGCAUGUGCAAGGGAACCUGACCCACCAGGUCCUAGCAGCUCUGUGCUAUGAGGGAAGGCAAACAGGUAAUGUUUCCAAGAAAAAAAAAAUCAAGUAGGGACACAUUCUAGGAAAAAAAUAAGAGAGAAUU
rnacentral:lncRNA from 1 species